rnacentral:misc_RNA from 1 species
UUAGGCCAUUGUGGAAGGGG